GACGAACGCUGGCGGCGUGCCUAACACAUGCAAGUCGAGCGAGGAGAUUCCCUUCGGGGAUGAACCUAGCGGCGGACGGGUGAGUAACGCGUGGGUAACCUGCCUCAUACACAUGGAUAACAUACCGAAAGGUAUGCUAAUACAGGAUAAUAUAAGAGAUUCGCAUGGAUUUCUUAUCAAAGCUCCGGCGGUAUGAGAUGGACCCGCGUCUGAUUAGCUAGUUGGUAAGGUAAUGGCUUACCAAGGCGACGAUCAGUAGCCGACCUGAGAGGGUGAUCGGCCACAUUGGAACUGAGACACGGUCCAAACUCCUACGGGAGGCAGCAGUGGGGAAUAUUGCACAAUGGGCGAAAGCCUGAUGCAGCAACGCCGCGUGAGUGAUGAAGGCCUUCGGGUUGUAAAACUCUGUCCUCAAGGAAGAUAAUGACGGUACUUGAGGAGGAAGCCCCGGCUAACUACGUGCCAGCAGCCGCGGUAAUACGUAGGGGGCUAGCGUUAUCCGGAUUUACUGGGCGUAAAGGGUGCGUAGGUGGUUUCUUAAGUCAGGAGUGAAAGGCUACGGCUCAACCGUAAUAAGCUCUUGAAACUGGGAAACUUGAGUGCAGGAGAGGAAAGUGGAAUUCCUAGUGUAGCGGUGAAAUGCGUAGAUAUUAGGAGGAACACCAGUAGCGAAGGCGGCUUUCUGGACUGUAACUGACACUGAGGCACGAAAGCGUGGGGAGCAAACAGGAUUAGAUACCCUGGUAGUCC
rnacentral:rRNA from 1 species